GCCCCUUGCAGCUUUCUCAGAAACAUAGCUCAGUUGGGUGAGCACUAAAUUCUCGAUCUCAGGGUUGUGGAUUCGAGCCCCAUGUUGGGCA